AGCACUCAUUGUUGUUUAAAAUAAGAGGUAAACACAACAAACUUGUAUCAAAAUGAACCAUGCAAUUCUUAAUCAUAAUAUUAAACAAUAACAUUCGAGAACAAAAAGAAGCCCCUUAAUGGCCCAAAUAAAAAACAUCAGUUGGUAACAUAGUUAGACAAUUUUGCAUAAGCUGCAAAAAUCAAGAACUUUUGAGCUUAAGAGAGUAUUUCCUUCUAAAAAUGAUACAGAAAGAAAAUCUCAUGCACUUAUUUCCCUGUUUUAAUCCUGCAAGCCUUUGUCACAAUGGUGUUGCAAGUCCU
rnacentral:lncRNA from 1 species